CCAAACCUGGUUGAUCCUGCCAGUAGUCAUAUGCUUGUCUCAAAGAUUAAGCCAUGCAAGUCUAAGUAUAAGCACUUAUACUGUGAAACUGCGGAAAGCUCAUUAUAUCAGUUAUAGUUUAUUUGAUGGUACCCUUACUACAUGGAUAACCGUAGUAAUUCUAGAGCUAAUACAUGCCCGGAAACUGCGACUCCU
rnacentral:rRNA from 1 species